GCCUACGGGAGGCAGCAGUGGGGAAUAUUGCGCAAUGGGCGAAAGCCUGACGCAGCGACGCCGCGUGAGGGAUGAAGGUCUUCGGAUCGUAAAUCUCUGUCUGCAGGGAAGAACGGUCACUGUGCUAAUCAGCAGUGAAUUGACGGUACCUGCAAAGGAAGCACCGGCUAACUCCGUGCCAGCAGCCGCGGUAAUACGGAGGGUGGGAGCGUUAAUCGGAAUUACUGGGCGUAAAGCGCUCGUAGGCGGUAUGUCAAGUCAAGGGUGAAAUCCACGCGCUCAACGUGGGAGCUGCCGUUGA
rnacentral:rRNA from 1 species